UAUACUUCUGCUGGAGCGCUUUGCCACAGCUACACCCACCACAGACGGCAACACUGAGGAGACAAGACACGGCAGUUCUUCAACAGAAACACUUCCAAAAUCCCUGUGAGUGGACGAGACCACACUUCCCAGCGAUGAAUGAGUGCGUUGCAUCCAGUGAAGCCGCGUCCACCUCAUCCCUCUGUGUGACUCCUGACCUGAGGGCCCCUUGGCUGUUGUAGAAAGGCUCACUGUGGGACGUUUCACAGUGGUAAUUCUUCUGGCGAAUGUAAGACUUCUGGCCCUGGCACAGAGCACACAGACGUGGAGCCAUAGCAGUGGCUCCAGGAACACAGCUGGCAUUGAAGAAGGUACUGACAUCUGCUCGAGAGGAGAACAAGUCAGAGGACUGAAAAACCACAGGACCCCGAGGACACUUCAAUAUCUUCAGUACCCUGACUGAGCGGCUGCUCUUUGGACCAGCUAAGGUAGUUCCGGGACAGCAGGAAGCCCAGAGGAAGACUCCACCCAGCUGUCCAUCGCACUCCACUGUGACAACUCCUGAGGCCCUGCAGGGAUCGAACGUCUAUGCUGCUGUUUCUCACCACAGCCACAGACAGAAUACAGCCUCCUGCAGAGGACACAACGGAGGACAACCACAGACAUGUCCUGUAAUAAACUGGCUCAUGUCACAACACAGAGCUGAAGAGACAUGAACAACCAUAACUAAAUAAAUACUCCUUGAAAGACGUA